ACGCUCAAGGAAGUAAAUAAAUGCCUCCCUCAAGAAAAAUAAGAGGGUUACAGAGAUGGGCUAGAUGCCGGCAAAGCACUUACUCUUCAACGGGGCUUCAAUCAAGGGUACAAAGAGGGUGCAGACGUCAUUAUAAACUAUGGACUCCUUAGAGGAACACUGAGUGCUUUGCUUUCCUGGUGUCACCUUCAUGGUAAUAGUUCGACUCUGAUCAGUAAGAUAAGUAACCUCCUGGACACAGUUGACCAGUGUGAAGAGUGUGUGCUCAGACGUCUGAAAUCGGUUACAUCACAGCCACGAGUUACGGAUUUAUUGGACGCCAUUGAGGAUAUGGACCUUUGUCACGUAGUUCCGUCAGACCAAGCGAAAGGAUCGGGAAAGGAGUUUUUCAUCACUUUUCCCCACCUGAAGUUAAUAUACAACGCCUGACUGAGAGCCAUCCAGCAUGGAGACAGUUGAAUAUAAACGAGGAUAUCAGCUUCAAAGUUUGGGAUGUGGGCAGCCAGGACAAGAUCCAGCCCCUGGAGCACCACUACUUCUGGAGCACCCAAGCCUUGU
rnacentral:lncRNA from 1 species